rnacentral:rRNA from 1 species
GACGAACGCUGGCGGCGUGCCUAAUACAUGCAAGUAGAACGCUGAAGGAGGGGCUUGCUUCUCCGGAUGAGUUGCGAACGGGUGAGUAACGCGUAGGUAACCUGCCUGGUAGCGGGGGAUAACUAUUGGAAACGAUAGCUAAUACCGCAUAAGAGUAGAUGUCGCAUGACAUUUGCUUAAAAGGUGCAACUGCACCACUACCAGAUGGACCUGCGUUGUAUUAGCUAGUUGGUGAGGUAACGGCUCACCAAGGCAACGAUACAUAGCCGACCUGAGAGGGUGAUCGGCCACACUGGGACUGAGACACGGCCCAGACUCCUACGGGAGGCAGCAGUAGGGAAUCUUCGGCAAUGGACGGAAGUCUGACCGAGCAACGCCGCGUGAGUGAAGAAGGUUGUCGGAUCGUAAAGAUCUGUUGUAAGAGAAGAACGAGUGUGAGAGUGGAAAGUUCACACUGUGACGGUAUCUUACCAGAAAGAGACGGCUAACUACGUG